rnacentral:lncRNA from 1 species
AUUCAUUGCAUUUAAGUAAUCAAACAACCACAAACUGUCACUGUCACUUUCAUUUCCUGUCAUUGUUCAUCUUCUUUAGCUGCUCCCACUUUAUCACUGGAGUUGGAUGCCCCCUGCAUCUAAGUAUCAGAAAGGGAAGGCUGUAGGUGUGUACAUGUGCUAGAAAGAGAGGUGAGAGAGAGAGGCAGUGAAUGCUGGAUAGAUCGUGGUGCUGGGUUUAUAUCAUUCACCUGUGGUUUUAGAAACAUUUUUUUUGGUUUGUUUCUUGGAUCAAAUGAAAAUCCUAGCCUUAUUGCUGCAGGAUUUUCUUAAUCCUCUCUCAGUAGUUAAAGACUAUCUCUAGUUUCACUUUGUUUGUUGCAGCUUGUGCAGAAGUGAUACAAGGCAGGUUUAAUUGCUUCCAUCAGCAGCUAUGGGAGAGGAGGAAGAGAGAGGAGAGAGAAGAGAGACAGAGAGAGAGAAAUGUCAUUGGCAAUGAAAAGAUAGCAACUCAUUUAUGUCAAAGAUAUAUCGGAAAGUACCUGUUUCUCAUUUGCAUUGUCAAGCAAAAUACCAGAGAAGAUUGUUAUACUGUAUGCUUUUUUAAAAAGUAUGUUUCCAUGUAUGUAAUCACAUCUGUGAACAUAUUAGAGGGAUAGGGUUAAUAGUGUAUGUUUCCAAGUGUGUUCCAUUAUAUUCUAACUGCAAUUUCCUGAACACUAAUUUACAGCUCUACUUCAAGCUUCCUCCUGCUGCACUGAAGUAAAUACUGUAUAUAUUUCAGGAAUUCUGUACAAAAUUAUAUAUUUGAUAACGGAGUGACUGCUGAUUCAGUAAACAUCGCAUAGCUGCACUGUAUUCACUGCGGUGCCACACAAUUUCUGCACAGUAGGCACAUGAAGGAGGGGAAUUGGUAUACAUUCAUAUUUGUAUAUCAAAUCCUCGAAUUCCCUGCCAAUCAUUUCGCAUACUGAUUGGGGAAACUGAGAAUUCCAUACUAUAUUGUGUAGGAAGAGAAAGGUCCAUUUUAGAGAUGAAUUGACUGAGUUAAUGAGAAAUGAAAAGCAUUUUCUAGAAAAUAUCAAAUAAAGAGCAUGAAGAAGAAGAAAGGAUAGGUGAU